UGGGGAAUAUUGCACAAUGGACGAAAGCCUGAUGCAGCAACGCCGCGUGAGUGAUGAAGGCCUUCGGGUUGUAAAGCUCUGUCUUCUGGGACGAUAAUGACGGUACCAGAGGAGGAAGCCACGGCUAACUACGUGCCAGCAGCCGCGGUAAUACGUAGGUGGCAAGCGUUGUCCGGAUUUACUGGGCGUAAAGGAUGCGUAGGCGGAUACUUAAGUCAGAUGUGAAAAUCCCGGGCUUAACUUGGGAACUGCAUUUGAAACUGGGUAUCUAGAGUGCGGGAGAGGAAAGUGGAAUUCCUAGUGUAGCGGUGAAAUGCGUAGAGAUUAGGAAGAACACCAGUGGCGAAGGCGACUUUCUGGACCGUAACUGACGCUGAGGCAUGAAAGCGUGGGGAGCAAACA
rnacentral:rRNA from 1 species